rnacentral:rRNA from 1 species
GACGUAGGGGGCCAGCGUUGCUCGGAAUUACUGGGCGUAAAGGGUUCGUAGGCGGUGUGGCAAGUCGGGAGUGAAAUCUCCAGGCUCAACUUGGAGGCUGCUUCCGAAACUGCCGCGCUAGAGUCCGGAAGAGGAGAGUGGAAUUCCUGGUGUAGCGGUGAAAUGCGCAGAUAUUGGGAAGAACACCGGUGGCGAAGGCGGCUCACUGGCUCAUUUCUGACGCUCAGGCGCGACAGCGUGGGGAUCAAACAGG